UAAAGCGUCCGUAGGCGGCCAAAUUAGUCGGGUGUAAAUUUCCAUGCCUAACAUGGAAAUCGUAUCUGAAACUGUUUGGCUACGAGUCUGAAAGAGGCCACUGGAAUUUCUAUUGGAGGAGUUAAAUCCGUAGAUAAUAGAAGGAACACCAAAAGCGAAGGCAGGUGGCUGGUUCAGUACUGACGCUCAGGGUCGAAAGCGUGGGGAGCAAACAGGAUUAGAUACCCUGGUAGUCCACGCUGUAAACUAUGAGUGCUAGGCGUUGGAGAGUUGUUUCGACCCUCUUCAGUGUCCACAGUUAACACGUUAAGCACUCCGCCUGGGGAGUACGGCCGCAAGGCUAAAACUCAAAGGAAUAGACGGGGGCCCGCACAAGCGGUGGAGCAUGGGGUUUAAUUCGAUAAUAAGCGAGGAACCUCACCUAGGCUUGACAUCCCGAGAAAGUCCUGGAAACAGGACCGUGCCUUUUGGAACUCGGUGACAGGCGCUGCAUGGUUGUCGUCAGCUCGUGCCCUGAGGUGUUCGGUUAAGUCCGUAAACGAGCGCAACCCACGUCGUGUGUUGUAUUUUUCACGCGAGACUGCCGGUUCUACGCCGGAGGAAGGUGUGGAUGACGUCAAAUCAGCAUGGCCCUUAUGCCUAGGGCCACACCCGUGCUACAAUGGAAGGUACAGUGGGUAGCCAAGGAGCAAUCCGGAGCUAAUCCCCAAAACCUUCCCAAGUUCGGAUUGAGGGCUGAAAUUCGCCCUCAUGAAGUUGGAAUCGCUAGUAACCGCGGAUCAGCCAUGUCGCGGUGAAUAUGUUCCCGGGCCUUGUACUCACCGCCCGUCACGUCAUGGAAGAUGGGAGCACCUGAAGCACCCUCGGUAAUA
rnacentral:rRNA from 1 species